UGCGUAGGCGGCCAAUUAAGUCAAAUGUGAAAUCCCCGAGCUUAACUUGGGAAUUGCAUUCGAUACUGGUUGGCUAGAGUAUGGGAGAGGAUGGUAGAAUUCCAGGUGUAGCGGUGAAAUGCGUAGAGAUCUGGAGGAAUAUCGAUGGCGAAGGCAGCCAUCUGGCCUAAUACUGACGCUGAGGUACGAAAGCAUGGGGAGCAAACA
rnacentral:rRNA from 1 species